rnacentral:rRNA from 1 species
GAGUUUGAUCCUGGCUCAGAACGAACGCUGGCGGCAGGCUUAACACAUGCAAGUCGAACGCUCUCUUCGGAGAGAGUGGCAGACGGGUGAGUAACGCGUGGGAACCUACCUAGAAGUACGGAAUAACUCGAGGAAACUCGUGCUAAUACCGUAUACGCCCUCCGGGGGAAAGAUUUAUCGCUUCUAGAUGGGCCCGCGUUGGAUUAGCUAGUUGGUGAGGUAACGGCUCACCAAGGCUACGAUCCAUAGCUGGUCUGAGAGGAUGAUCAGCCACACUGGGACUGAGACACGGCCCAGACUCCUACGGGAGGCAGCAGUGGGGAAUAUUCGGCAAUGGGCGCAAGCCUGACCGAGCCAUGCCGCGUGAGUGACGAAGGCCUUAGGGUUGUAAAGCUCUUUUGGCGGGGAAGAUAAUGACUGUACCCGCAGAAUAAGUCCCGGCUAACUUCGUGCCAGCAGCCGCGGUAAUA